rnacentral:rRNA from 1 species
GUCGGGAAUAUUGCACAAUGGAGGAAACUCUGAUGCAGUGACGCCGCGUAUAGGAAGAAGAUUUUCGGAUUGUAAACUAUUGUCGACAGGGAAGAAAAAAGACAGUACCUGUGGAGGAAGCCCCGGCUAACUACGUGCCAGCAGCCGCGGUAAUACGUAGGGGGCAAGCGUUAUCCGGAUUUAUUGGGUGUAAAGGGUGCGUAGACGGGAUUUUAAGUCAGUUGUGAAAAUCCGAGGCUUAACUUCGGAAUUGCAACUGAAACUGGAAUUCUUGAGUACAGGAGGGGAAAGCGGAAUUCCUAGUGUAGCGGUGAAAUGCGUAGAUAUUAGGAAGAACACCGGUGGCGAAGGCGGCUUUCUGGACUGUAACUGACGUUGAGGCACGAAAGUGUGGGUAGCAAACAGGA